rnacentral:sRNA from 1 species
CACACCAUCUACCCUAGUGUAGGUAAUAGGUCUACGCUAGGACCCUGUGCUGGGCUCUCAGCCCAUCAUGAGAUUUUGGUGGAUUUAAUGGCAGAAACCCCAGUGUGAUGGUGGAAGCAGCAUGAAAACAUCUCCCCAGGCCUCGCAGUAGAGGUGAAGGGAACAGGGCUGCCCAUGUGCCUGCCUCUAAAGACACCACCCUCAGGUUGAUGUCACCUGUGGGAGACCGGGUCCACCUACAGACACCAGGUGAUGGUCCGCCAGGCCCCAAGCUCCAGCCUGCUGAGUCCCCAAGACACGGGCUCAUUAAAUAGCUUUGUACAAAAACCCAAGGGUGUCCCUCCAGCUGGUAAAAAUUGGGCAAUUUCUACUUGAGGUCUGCUGUAGGGGUGGACCUCACCUUGGAGAUGUCUUUCCAAAAUAAAACUAAGCCCUACUCAGGAAAAAUGGUGAUGAAAGGCAGCUCACAGACAUGCAGGACUAAUAAUCUUAUCGAAAAGGGAGGAGCUCAGGCACACAGGAGGACGAGGCUAUGCAAUAUGCAGACAUGAAA